rnacentral:tRNA from 1 species
UAAAUGGAGGCCAAAAUAGAAGCACCUAGUUGUUAACUAGGGGAAUGUAAGUAUAAUUACUCAUUUAG